rnacentral:rRNA from 1 species
UACGUAGGGUGCGAGCGUUAAUCGGAAUUACUGGGCGUAAAGCGUGCGCAGGCGGUGAGCUGUGUCCGAUGUGAAAGCCCCCGGGCUUAACCUGGGAAUGGCAUUGGAAACUGGCUCGCUGGAGUGUGGCAGAGGGGGGUGGAAUUCCGCGUGUAGCAGUGAAAUGCGUAGAGAUGCGGAGGAACACCGAUGGCGAAGGCAGCCCCCUGGGCUAACACUGACGCCUCAGGCACGAAAGCGUGGGGAGCAAACAGG